AGUGAACGCUGGCGGUAGGCCUAACACAUGCAAGUCGAACGGCAGCACAGUAAGAGCUUGCUCUUACGGGUGGCGAGUGGCGGACGAGUGAGGAAUACAUCGGAAUCUACUUUUUCGUGGGGGAUAACGUAGGGAAACUUACGCUAAUACCGCAUACGACCUACGGGUGAAAGCAGGGGAUCUUCGGACCUUGCGCGAUUGAAUGAGCCGAUGUCGGAUUAGCUAGUUGGCGGGGUAAAGGCCCACCAAGGCGACGAUCCGUAGCUGGUCUGAGAGGAUGAUCAGCCACACUGGAACUGAGACACGGUCCAGACUCCUACGGGAGGCAGUAGUGGGGAAUAUUGGACAAUGGGCGCAAGCCUGAUCCAGCCAUACCGCGUGGGUGAGGAAGGCCUUCGGGUUGUAAAGCCCUUUUGUUGGGAAAGAAAAGCAGCAGGUUAAUACCCCGCUGUUCUGACGGUACCCAAAGAAUAAGCACCGGCUAACUUCGUG
rnacentral:rRNA from 1 species